CCUGGGAUCACUACCCUAACUCGGAACUACUGCCGGUCAUGUACUAUCUGUGCUAAAUGCAACCCAGGUAAAAUAAUCAAAGCUGCACCGAAUCAUUUGGCCAAACCACAAUAUCCCUGCCAAAGGAUCCAAAUUGAUCAUAUCCAAAUGCCAAAGAGCGGCCGUUACGAGUAUGCACUGGUCAUAGUGGACAUGUUUUCAGGGUGGCCAGAAGCUUUCCCAGUUGCCAACCUUACCGCAAAGACUACCGCUAAACACCUACUCACCGAAAUUAUCUGCAGAUAUGGAGUCCCUGAAGUAAUUGAAAGUGAUCAAGGUACAUCUUUCACCGCAUUACUGACCAGAGAAAUCUGGGCUGCACUGGGGGUGACCCUUGCUUUCCACACACCCUAUCACCCACAGAGUAGUGGUAAGGUAGAACGCAUGAAUGGCACUCUGAAAGCCAGGAUGCUAAAAAUGUCACAGGAAACUAACUUGCCCUGGCCGGAGAGUCUUCCCAUAGCACUCUUUAGUGUAAGGUAUACCCCAAGGGGGAAGUUUAAUCUAUCCCCCUACGAGAUUUUGUUUGGGACAGCACCCAGGUGAGGUUGUUAUUUUCCACAACAAUUUCAACUUCUGUCAGACGCAAUGGUAGAUUAUAUAACUGCACUCUCUCAUGCCUUGACCAAAAUCCAUGCACAGGUGUUUUCUUCUAUUCUAGAUCCAGAAUCCAACACAGGCACGCACAAGUUACUACCCGGUGAUUGGGUUAUGGUCAAGAAAUUCCUAAGAAAACAUACUCUUGAGCCAAGGUUCGAUGGUCCAUACCAAGUACUAUUAAUUACAGCUACCUCUGUAAAGUUGGCUGGGAAGAACACUUGGAUACACGCUUCACACUGUAAGAAGGUUCCUGACCCAGAGGAAGCGGAUCCCACACCAACAUGAGCCUUUUAUAUAUAUGUUUGCUGCUAGGCCUUUUGGAGGCCCAACAAGUCGCUAUUACCAAAGACAAUCAUGUUUACACAUUUUGGUACAACUCUUCCAACACACAUGUGGCUACAUUUACUUUUGACUACUGUGAUAUUUGUACAUUUCCACAAUCACAACACUCAGCAAUAUACAAAAACAUACCAAACAAGAAGGAGCUGUACAUUUGUGUGACGGGUGGUCAUUGGGGACAUCACUGUAGUUAAUGGAAAGCAGCGGGUUGAAACACAGGCCGACCAUGGGGUUACAGACCACAGACUGCCUUAGACCGAGUUGACAGACACAGGAAAUCUUUGUUAUACCGAAUGACUUUGUGUAAACCAACAGGGUCUACUCCAAUAAAAUUGACCUUAAACAUAGAAUACCCCAACCCAGGUGAUGCCGGAGAAUACGUAAUGGGAAUGUAUUGGAAAGGGGGUGGCUCGUACAACAAGUUGGGAACAUUUUAUUUGCAAGACAUGCUUACAUCACCUGACUGGGUAGGGUCAACACACAUGAUAGUAAAUCCCCUGAAACUGCACAUCAAGACUCUCAAGGACAUGGUGGCUAUUGCCAAUCCCACAUUUGAAGACACUAUGGCUAUGGAGACUGGUUUUUCAGAUACUAAUCUAUGGCUUGAAUGGAUGAGGUACAAUGCUAACUCUCAUAAUAAAACCAACUGUUAUGUUUGUGGCCCCACUUAGGUACAGUACCCCUAAAUAUACCCCCCGAUGUUGAAACAUGUUUCUUAAGCCUCUAUGUACAAACAAUUGUAAAU